AGUGCUGCUAGUGUGAAUGCAGCUCACCCAGCGCAGCCUUUAAUGCUGUAAGUUAGUCCAGCUUCCCCCCCGUUCUCCCUCCACAGAGCUGAGCUGGCUGCAGGGUGCAGUGGAGAUGGGGCCUUUUGGGGGCAGUUUGUCAGUGUGGAGAGUCAGUGGGGUAGCCAGCCUAGAGCCAGGGGGUGAGUGAAGCCCUUUGCCGCGGGGAGCAGCCUGCUUUGUCUCUCCCUGCCGCAGGGAGCAGCCUGCUUCUUCUCUCCUUGAUUUGGGUUCUUGUGUGGUAUCGUUCUGGAUUCUCACUGAGCCUCUCAGCAGGCGUCUUGCUCUGGUUAUCACACAGGGUGGGGGGCGCGAAUGGGACAGACUUAGCCCCGUGGCCCCAGUUUGUCCUUUGGGGCGGUGCCCAGGCUGUCUCUGCACAUCACCCUGGUGGGAGGGCCCCAAGGGAGAGCCCACUCCUCAGCCAAUGGGUUUCCUGCCCAUCUGCAUGGCAGGUGGCUUCCCCCAGGCUGCAUGUGGACAAUGGGGCAGGAGGACAAGACCAGGAACUCAGAUGUCCUGUCCAGCUGACUGCCCAACCGGGGGGCUCAGAGCAGGGGGGCAAUUGAGGUUGGGGAUUUUGGGGGAGUGUGACGUUAUGAGUGUGAUAUAAUAUCUCAUUGGAAGGUGACAGGGCCAGAGAGUUAAUUACCUCCCAGACUGACCUGACCCAGGGCCCAACUGUAGCGACUGGUUCGGAAGAUCUGUUCAUGAGCAGAGCUGGGAAAUGCAGCCGGGGUUGUUAGAGGUAGACGGGAGCUGGGUGCUCAGGGCUUGUGGGGUCAGCAAACAAGUCUGGUCUAUUGCUAGAGCUUUGAUUCAAAGGUCAAAACAGGAAUAUUAACAUUUAUGUUGAUACUUGAGGGAAAUAGUAUUAUUGUCUCUAUGUCUCUUUGAAGGUUGUGGUAACCUGGAUCUGAACUGUUUAAUGGAUAAAUGACCCUGUGCUAAUUGCCAGGAUGUUUGGGAGAAGGAGAAUUAAGCCUAUUGUUUUCUCAGGCCGAAAGGCUGCUGGAAAUGUAUAAGACCCUGGGACACGAUCCUGCUUCAUCUCAGAUCUGCUUUGGGUUUCAAGAGGGGGAAACCUUAAGCCAUAAGGAUUGAGAUCCCCAGUCACUGACUGGAGCCACCCUGAAUAUGGACAUUGGACUAUAACCUCUGGACUAUUUCUAAAAGGACUUUUGGCAACGACAAGCUCAUCUCUGCUGUGUCUGACCCUCAAGAAUUGAAUUCGGUCUGUCUGUAUAUUGAUCUGUUAACCAGCACUCUCUCCCUUUUCUUUUUUAAUACAUUUUAGCUUAGUUAAUAAGAAUUGGCUAUUAGUGUGUAUUUUGGGUAAGAUCUAAGUUAUAAUUGAACCCGGAUGUGUGGCUGAUCCUUUGGGGUUGGAAGAACCUUGUCUUUUAUAUGAAGAGAUCAGAUUGUCAGGAAUCCUCAUCAUAUCUGACGUGUGUGUCUGGACGGAGGCCGGACGCUGGGCACUUUAAGGGAUCUGCGUUGGUUGGACUCUGAAUAACCAGUGAGGUAAUACAGAGGCUGGUUGGUAAAUCUAAGUAUUGGAAGAUCCACCAGCGUUUGGGGUUUGGUGUAGAUAAAUCUCUGAUAAUUUUCAUAUGACUUUACAUUGUGCCUCUUCAUAUAACCUUGUGGUGGGUCUACCCACGUGUGACCUCUGUUUUCAUAGUCUCUAAGGUGCCACAAGUACUCCUGUUCUUCUUUUUUCUGUUUUCAUGGGACUUUGUAUCAAAGCCUCAUUUAGAAACUUUGCAUUGCCCUUGGUAUAAUAUUAUAGCCCCUAAGGAUAGAAUAAGAUAGAAGAAAAAUUUCUUUUUGCUAGCAGUAGAACAAGAGCUUUCCCCCCCCCCCCUCAAUCAAUUGCCCUGUUGAAUGAAUGAGGUGUGGAUGAGCAAGGCAUGGAAGGCAGCACCUCCAGACAGCCUCAACUGUUGGAGAGGGGCUGGGAGCCAGACCCAAGGACAAUAAAACGUGUCAAGUGGGCUCAUUAAAGAGAAGCAGACAUACCGAUGGCCUCGGGGGUUAGAAGCAAGCACCUUCUUUUGGAAACACCCUCUUUGCAGCAUUGGGACAACACUCAAAAGAAAGCAGCACAAAGGACCAAUGGACACAGACACAGAGUUUGAAUCUGGUAUAGAUUUGCAUAAGAGGAAAGGUUUCAGAGUAGCAGCCGUGUUAGUCUGUAUCCGCAAAAAGAAGAACAGGAGUACUUGUGGCACCUUAGAGACUAACAAAUUUAGAGCAUAAGCUUUCGUGGACUACAGCCCACUUCUUCGGAUGCAUAUAGAAAGCUUAUGCUCUAAUAAAUUUGUUAGUCUCUAAGGUGCCACAAGUACUCCUGUUCUUCUUUUUUCAUAAGAGGAAAGCUGCUAUAAAAGUGAGGUGUCUUGCAGAGGACCCCGGGUCUCGUCUUAUCAACAUGGGAGCAUCGAUCCGGAUCGGCAGAAGCCCGGCUCCACCCCCUCCCCCAUCUAACUCACCUGGCCAGUGAAGUUAAGGGGAGCAACUAAUUGGUAACAACAAGACGGAGUGUGUUUGUGUGUGUGUGUGAGUGUAAGUGUAAUAUAUUAUAUGCAUAUGAUACAGUGUUAAUGAAUACAUGUAUUGCUAAUAAAUGUGGCGUUUUGUCUUAUUCCCCCUGAAAAGAUCCUGUGCAGUACUUUAAGUACAACAUUUUGGUGGAGAAUGCGAAAGGGGGAGCAAGCAUAGAAUCCACAGUUAUUAUAAAACUGGUGUGCACACCGCCAGCUUUAGCAAGCCUGGCACUAUAGGAAAAAGAGCGUAAACUUUCAGUUAAUUAACCAAACUCUGAAGGAUAUAGGAGUUUAGGUUUAAAUUGUGUUAUAGAGGUACAUACACCCUCAGCCGUAGCAAGACUGAGCUAAAGAGGAGAACUUAGUGUUUCUCACUCUGAUCCGGGGAAGGAUUUGUAUAAUUGGUGUAUGAACCCUCGGUGGUAGCAGACCGAGUAAUACAGAGGGAGGCUUAGCGUCUCUCCCUCUGGCCCAAAGUGGGUUAAAAACAUAAGAUACAGAUCUUGUAUCUGUAGGAUACAAACUCUGAAGGAUAUAGGAAUUUGGGCAGUGUAGUGUGGUUUAUGUUUGUUUGUUUUUUUAUUUUGUUUUGUUUUUUGUAAGUAAUAUUGUGGUAAUUUCACAAUUUUGCAGAAAAUGUUUAAGGAAUGGGACCAGGAAGGGUGGGGGCUAGUUGGAAAGCCCACCCUCCUUGCUAAAUUGGUAGUGGAACAAGGCUUGUGCCCAUGGAAAGGAACUGUUUAUUGGAAAAAGCAGGAUCGGGCCCAGGCAAGCAACAGAUAGAGAAACUGGAAAACAGGUUGGGUACAGAGAGUUAAAACAGCACUCUCAAAUCUUACAGCAGCAGUAACAUCAGAAGAAGAAACAUUUAAGACCCCAGAAGGGGGCAGACCUUUGGAACCCCUCUGGAGAUUGGGACGGGGGAUAUUUGAAAUAUUUGGGUAAAUUCCUCCUCCCUGGGCCAAAAUGCCAUUGAAACAGUUAACAACAGUGCCUGCUUCUGCCUCAGAUCUCCAGGCCAUGGCAAAAUGGCUGGAGAUUUUAAAACAGAUUUUUUUUCUAGAUGGAGUGUUAACGCCCUUUUACUGAGAGAAAGGGAGGAUUUACACUCACAAGAAAUGCACCACUUAAUUAGCAUUUGUGCAGCCCCAAGUACCAAACACACUGUGGCAGAGACCAAGCAGGUUCUGCCAGGGUAAAAGCACUGUGCUAAUUUGUUUCCAAGCUUCUAUCUUUCAGGCUCUGAACCAGAAGAUCAGGAGAGCUGGUACCAGCUGAAGAGUUAUAAAAUACCAUGGUUAUAGUGUCAUGACAAAGUCUGUGUUCAGUGUUCUGUGUUGCAUGUUCUGUGUCUGUCUCUAGUGGUGUCCUGUGCUAGCAUUGGGUCCAGAGAGAGAGGGGAUACUACACUAGACAGGGGAAAUGUCUUUUCCUCUCUCUACUUCCCCCAUCUCCAUCCAAUUUAUCAAUCACCACUUGUGUCCAAAAAACUUUGGUCCCCAGUGCAUCAGGUUUAUUUUUUGUUAGGUUCUCUAAUAGUCAUUUUGUUGUUAAUUUUUGUUAUUAAUACAUUUGUAUUGUUAGUUACAUUUGCUUGUAUUAUUAUUAAUUCCACACUUUCCUCUAUGCACUCUGGUUCUAUUUCCCCAAGCCCUGAAGGGUAGUUCUUGGGCCCCCAUAACCUGUAAGACCUUGGCCCAUAAUUGUAUGGCCCCAUCUUUCAGGUCCCCAGAAACCUCUGAGAACAACUGUUAAAAAUAGGGAAUUCUACAACAUUUUAGCAACUGAAUGUUAGUUUAAGUCCAAAUCAGCUUAACCUUGCAUAACAACUGUGAUACUCCUACAAAAUCUUAUUUGUUGUGUGUGCUUAAGGAGGUCCUGACCUCAGUGACUUUUUUUGUUUGAUGGCUAUUGCAGCAUCAAACUUGGCCUCAUUUUGUUUGUCAAUGUACCCAAUUAUUGUAAUGGUAAUGGUCUUGUUGUAUUUCCAAUUAUUAUAAUUAUAAUUGUUUGCAUUUGUGUUUAUGUUAUAUCUGGUGUUUAGUCAAUUGUAAUGGUUUUAGUUAUAUUCACCUGGUUAUAAUUGUUUGGUUUGUUUGCAACAAAUACAAAAGAUUUAUAUGGUGACCACUCAAGAAUUGUUCUUGAGAGGUCAAAAGGGGGACAAUGUAGAUCAAUCUCUGAUAAUUUUCAUAUAACUUUACAUUGUGCCUCUUCAUAUAACCUUGUGGUGGGUCUACCCACGUGUAACCUCUGUUUUCAUGGGACUUUGUAUCAAAGCCUCAUUUAGAAACUUUGCAUUGCCCUUGGUAUAAUAUUAUAGCCCCUAAGGAUAGAAUAAGAGAGAAGAAAAAUUUCUUUUUGCUAGCAGUAGAACAAGAGCUCCCCCCCCCCCC